UCUAUGUUCUCUCUCUUCCUCUCUUAUAUCUCAGAUGUAAAUCCAUUUUCAUGAUUCAUUUCGGCCUGUGAUGUAUGAUAUUGUCCGUACCAUCUGAAUGCCUAUGGCUUCUUUUGACGAUAACCAUGUAUCCUUAAUCUACUGAGGCCUAUCAGAUCUGAUUUUCUACUGAUGUGUUGAAUUAUAACAUCAAACUAUGAAGGCUCGUCGCAGGUGUUUACAGUGCUGUACGUUGCCGAUAGCUAUUUGAGAGCUGAGAUUCUGGCAUUCGAUUGUUUCUUCAUCGUCGCAAAUGCAUUCAGAUGUUCUUACAUUCAUGUGUUGACCAAAUUUUAGCUCUUUUAUGUUCUUAAAACUUUGUUAAUUAACCAUUGUCGUUUGAGUUAAAUAUGUUUAUUAUAUGAAAAUUUCAAUAACAGAGCCUAUGAUUUUGAUAACCUAACCUGAAAUUUAGGUUUCCCUUGUUUAUUUUGAUUUGUAUGUUGUAUAAUCAUGUAUUCUUAAUUAUUAAAUUAAGACAGUUUUACAUUGUCUUCUGCAAUGAUAAGGAGGUCUGUGGGUUCUUUCAA